rnacentral:rRNA from 1 species
AGAGAGAGACAUGCGCGCAUAUCAAUAAGCGGAGGAAAAGAAACUAACAAGGAUUCCCUUAGUAACGGCGAGUGAAGCGGGAAGAGCUCAAAUUUGAAAUCUUCAAGGUUUUACCUUGACGAAUUGUAGUUUAAAGAAGUGUUUUCUGCUGAAGUUUUGGUAAAAGUUCUUUGGAAUAGGACAUCAUAGAGGGUGAGAAUCCCGUAUUUGACCAUUAUUUUCAGCUUUGUGAUACACUUUCAAAGAGUCGGAUUGUUUGGGAAUGCAGUCCAAAAUGGGUGGUAAAUUUCAUCUAAAGCUAAAUAUUGGCGAGAGACCGAUAGCGAACAAGUACCGUGAGGGAAAGAUGAAAAGAACUUUGAAAAGAGAGUUAAACAGUACGUGAAAUUGUCAAAAGGGAAGCGUUUGACACCAGUGUUGUUUUCCUCGAAAAUCAAUUAAAAAUGGCUCGAUCUUUGUAUUGCUUGAGACCUUAAAAGCUCACUGUACAUUUUUCGUGUCCUUUUUUAAUGCACUUUUCGUUUAACAAGUCAACAUCAGUUUCUUUUGUUGUAAAAGGGUCAUUGGAAGGUGGCUUUCUUUUCGGAGAAAGUGUUUAUAGCCUUUGGCCUCUGCAAUCGAAGAGACUGAGGUCUGCAGCGUAGACUCUUCGGGGUUAGAUACAUUUGUGCUAAGUUAUAGCUUUUUAUAGGACAACUUGUUGACUAUAAUUAGUCUUGUAGCUUACUCGCUUAUGCUAUUUUACCUACGCUUAGGAUGUUGAAGAUGUAGCACAUCAU